rnacentral:ncRNA from 1 species
GAAAAAGCGUUGACAGAGAAGAGUAGUCUGCGAAAGCGUCAAUCAGGGAGAAAAUGCCGGUGACUGUGAGCAUUUUUUUGACAGCAGCAGAUGAAUUCACCUCUUUAGCUGACACCAGGACCAUCCGGAGAAAUCCAGGGUGUAAAGGUGCUCCGGAUCCUAUCCGUUAUUUAUGAACGAAGUGAACAGCAGGUUCUUUUUGCUGUUAACAAGGGUGGUACCGCGACUGUCAACUCGUCCCUUUU